rnacentral:rRNA from 1 species
AGUGAACGCUGGCGGUAGGCCUAACACAUGCAAGUCGAACGGCAGCACAGUAAGAGCUUGCUCUUACGGGUGGCGAGUGGCGGACGGGUGAGGAAUACAUCGGAAUCUACUUUUUCGUGGGGGAUAACGUAGGGAAACUUACGCUAAUACCGCAUACGACCUACGGGUGAAAGCAGGGGAUCUUCGGACCUUGCGCGAUUGAAUGAGCCGAUGUCGGAUUAGCUAGUUGGCGGGUAAAGGCCCACCAAGGCGACGAUCCGUAGCUGGUCUGAGAGGAUGAUCAGCCACACUGGAACUGAGACACGGUCCAGACUCCUACGGGAGGCAGCAGUGGGGAAUAUUGGACAAUGGGCGCAAGCCUGAUCCAGCCAUACCGCGUGGGUGAAGAAGGCCUUCGGGUUGUAAAGCCCUUUUGUUGGGAAAGAAAAGCAGCAGGUUAAUACCCCGCUGUUCUGGCGGUACCCAAAGAAUAAGCACCGGCUAACUUCGUG